GAUGAACGCUGGCGGCGUGCCUAACACAUGCAAGUCGAGCGAACAGAUAAGGAUCUUGCUCCUUUGACGUUAGCUGCGGACGGGUGAGUAACACUUGGGUAACCUACCUAUAUGACUGGCAUACCUUCGUAAAACCGGGGCUAAUGCCGGAUAACAUUUAGAACCGCAUGGUUCUACAGUGAUUGAUGGUUUUGCUAUCACUUAUAGAUGGAUCAGGGCCGUAUUAGCUAGUUGGUAAGGUAACGGCUUACCAAGGCAACGAUACGUAGCCGACCUGAGAGGGUGAUCGGCCACACUGGAACUGAGACACGGUCCAGACUCCUACGGUAGGCAGCAGUAGGGAAUCUUCCGCAAUGGACGAAAGCCUGACGGAGCAACACCGCGUGAGUGAUGAAGGUCUUCUGAUCGUAAAACUAUGUUAUUAGGAAAGAACAAAUGUUUAAUUAACUGUGCACGUAUUGACGGUACCUAAUCAAAAAGCCACGGCUAACUACGUG
rnacentral:rRNA from 1 species